AGAGAAUUUCCCCCCUUUAGCUUAGCCAUCGUGGCGUCCGUAGGGCUCUUCAGGGGGAAAAAGGAGGGGAGGCAGAGAGGAAGGAAAGAAAGGGAAAAAGAAUGGACCUGAAAGGGGAGAAGAGAGGGGAAAAACUGUGGGUGUGUGGAUCCUAGAGGAAUCAGAACCAACUUUUUUUUUUUUUUUUUUUGAGGAAUGGCCAUUCACACCAACAGGGGUUUUACAGCUGAAAGAAAAGUUGCAGAUUUUUCGCGGAUCGGUGGUGUGUUUUUUUCCCCUUUCUCCUCCACAGAAACGUGAGAUUUUUGGGGAUGGGGGUGGGGGAAGGAUGCAUCCGGGUCCCCCCCCCCCGCACUCCAGCGUGUUUCUAAUUUUCCCCCGGUCCACUUGGAAACUGUUUACAAUCCCAGCUGAAACCUAAUUCGGAUCUGAAGGAAAUGGAAUAAGGUCCAACUUUGGCUUUGCUGCGGUUUUUGGGAACGGGAGAGCGCGCCCACCUUCUGUGAAAUAGUUGCACUGAGCGAAAUGCAGAUUUGAUUUUAACAGAUGUGGAGGAUGGUGAAGAUACCAGCCAAGACACUUUUGUGGAGGAGAAGGAGGAGGAGGAGAAGAAGAAGGACCACUUUAAUGUAAAUUUCAAUUCAACAUGCAUGUAAAUGUAAUCAAACCCAAUCCACUUCUGGCCUGGACAAGCCCAUUAUUUUUUGCAACAUGAUCUUUGAAUUAUUAUUAUUCAGUCCGGAGGAAGUUGAACAUCCAGUUGUCCAGCUCUG